AGUGCUCUCUGACCCCCCGACAGGGCCACAUCCUGCUGCUUCUCUCGAGGGGGAAGAGGGAGCUUAUUGAUUUCUCCCCCCCCCCCUUUUAUUAUUUCCCACUUCCCUGUUCGAGAUGGAUUUUUUUAUUUUUAUUUUUAUUUUUUUUUUACUUCUUGGGGCAGGGGAGGGGCAGGUGUUUGCAGAACUAUGAAACACCAGUAGUUACACUGGCCCGGGCUGUUGCCCUGGACUGUUUUGACUGGUCUCUAAUACAAAGGAAUCUCUUUAUAAGUCCUUUUGCUAAUGGUGCUUCUUUGAAACGGCGUCUGUCUGUUCUCUUGGAUCGUGCCACCUGCUGCAAAUCCCCAGCCGGAGCCGGCAUUAUUAGCCCCAAAAAAGCGUUCUGGUCCUUGAGACACUUGGGGUCCAUCAGCAACCGACCAGCCAGAGCCCCAAGUGGAAACUGAAACAGAACUUUACAGUGACCAGAGGAAACGAACAGAAGAGGGAAUCAAGUGAUCCAGCCCGUCCCCCAUUCCCAGUUUAAUGCAAACAGAGGCUCGGGACGUUUCAGGGCCCGGUUUGUAUCCCUGCCCAGCCUGGCUAAUAGCAAUUGAUAGAUAAAUUCAUGGCAGAGGGGUCCCUUUGAAUCCUGUUAGUCUUGGCCUUCACAACCAGUCCCUGGGAGUGUGUUCUCGGGGAGUUACGGGCCAGUCACUCCCCAGGUGCCUGCUUUGAAUUGGUCAGCGGGCACUGGCUUGCUGUGAAGCCCUGGCAUUGCUCUUGGAUUGAUUGAUUUUUAGAGCAGGCUGUACCAGGACAUGCCCCUUGGGACCAGCACAGUUCUGCCAGUGCUAUUCAGAACUUCUGGAGCCAGCAGCGAUGCCACUGGGGUCUUCCCAUUCCCAAAGCACAAGCACAUCUGCAUCCUGCCCAGAGCCCCCUUUCUGCCAACCCCCAGAGGAUGUGAGUGGUUACAGCCACCAGCUAAAACGCCCUGAGUCUUUCGCACACGUGGUCGUGGCGGCUCAGGCUUUGAGCUCUGGAAAUGCCCAGUUCUGUCUCCGGUGUGUCAGCCGAGGGCGGCCAUUAUACCCUCUGCAGCCAGGUUCUAUACCCCUGGGGCAGCUACAUUCUGUUCUGUUAAGCUCACGUAGCCCCACUAAUUGCCAAGUCGUUGCAUAAAUGUGAGUAGAAUUUGACCUUUACAGUGACAUAAUGGGGUGGCACUCCCCUCUCGUGAGCGCCUUGUGGCCGAAUGCAUGCACCUGCAUUGUCUCUACUGAAACCUCUUUGGCAACUCAGCCCUCCAGACAAGGUACACCGUGUGAGUCACAAACCCCUUCUGGGUACACCUCUAACAGGCCCAUCCUGAUGCCCUCUGCUAGUGUCCCUCAGUCGGUUCCCUCACCCUGAAGAGUAGUACCCCCAGGGCUUCCCUUCCUGGAGGUAGCGUACUCACCCUUGCCUCAGGACUUUCCCUCACAGUCCCAACAUAGUUCAUUAGUCCCCAGUGAGCUGGUAGUGGUGGUAGUGCUGCGUCUAUCUGCCAGUCUCCUGGUCUGUGUACCUUGAAGGCACCAAAGACACUGCCUGGUGCUAUGUUCCUUAGUGUCUUUUAUAGACCUUCCUGGCCCCUGAUUGGCCUAUUCCCCUGCAGCCAUUCUAGCCUCCUAGGAGGACUUCUCUGUAGUCUUUCUGGGCAGGGUGUGGCAGGACCACAAGGCCUCCAGCAGUGGAGUCUCAGGCCUGGUCCACCCCAUCACAAAUGGCUUUAGAAAUCCUAUUUCCUGUGUGUGUUUGUUUGCUCUGUCAAAAUAGCUGCUAUUCCUCUUAGUCAAAUGACAAACAGCCAGAAGUUCCUGGGAAGAUGACGUGGUUUUAAUACUUCCCUUUUUCCUGCUUUGGGUCAGAGACCUACCGCCAGGAGCUGUUCAGUUGCCCACUAAGGUGUAUCUACACUGCAAGGUUAUUUUGGAAUAACAGCUGUUAAUCUGAAAUAAUGUGAAUGUCUACACAACAAUUCUGUUAUUUCAAAAUAAUUUCAAAAUAAUGGACGGCUUAUUCCAACUUCUAUAAACCUCAUUCUACGAAGAAUAACGUCUAUUCCAAAAUAGUUUUUGAAAUAAGGUGGGUAUAGAUGCUUCACUUCUAUUUCGAAAUAGCCCCUCACUAGGGCCAAUCUAAGUUACUCCUCCUGGGGCUCUAAAUAGAGAUAGAACAUCUGCGUUAGGGAAGCCUGCCUCAGACUAAUUUUGAGCCUUCCCUGCAGUGUAGACGUGCUAUUUUGGAAUAACUGUUACGGAAUAUCUUAUUCCGAAAUAACUGUGCAGUGUUGACAUAGCCUAAGUGACACUUUAACUGGCCUCUGGGUUAUUGGGAUUUUCCCCCUUGAUUUACAUGCCUAAUCAGAGCAAUUCUUU